GAUUCCAUGCCGAACUCAGAAGUGAAACACAAUAGCGCCGAUGGUAGUGUGGGGUUUCCCCAUGUGAGAGUAGGACAUCGCCAGGC
rnacentral:rRNA from 1 species